rnacentral:tRNA from 1 species
GGUGGCUUAGUGGUAGAGCACUUGCUUAGCAUGCAUGAAGCCCUGGGUUCAAUUCCUCAGUACCA